AUAAACUUGUUUGAAAGGAAAUUUAUUUGACAUAACAAGUAUAAUAGAGUGAUGGAUGCUGACAACGACAAUUAUUGGUAAAUAUUAGAACUGCAUUAUACUAGGAGCGAAGAUACGUCAAGCAGUCAUGGAAUCUAGUUUUAAAGGUUCCGUUAUACAAUUUGAAAGUUCGACCUCAUGCCUCAAGUUUGGCGGAGCCGGAGCGGAGCCGGAGCGGAGCUUGUGCGGAGCAGGAGCGGAGCCGGAGCGGAGCUUGAGCGGAGCCGGAGCCGAGCCGAAGCGGGCCGCUAGUUGUUUAUAAUCUGACGAAGCGUGUUGCAGAUAAUAAUAUGUACUUUUAGGUUAUUAAACUA